UACGUAGGGGGCAAGCGUUGUCCGGAUUUAUUGGGCGUAAAGAGCGUGUAGGCGGUUAGGUAGGUCCGUUGUGAAAUCUUGGAGCUUAACUCCGAAACUGCAUUCGAUACUGCCGUGCUUGAGGACUGGAGAGGAGACUGGAAUUUACGGUGUAGCGGUGAAAUGCGUAGAUAUCGUAAGGAAGACCAGUGGCGAAGGCGGGUCUCUGGACAGUUCCUGACGCUGAGGCACGAAGGCCAGGGGAGCAAACGGG
rnacentral:rRNA from 1 species